CAGAGUUUCCAACUCGCCUAACCAUUGUGAACCCUACCUUCCCGUUGCUUCGGCGGGCGGCGCCCUCUUUCCCCUUAUGAUAGGCGGGCUGCAGGGCGCCCCUGGACCCCCCGCGGGCGCCCGCCGGAGGAUUUCCCAAACCCAUUGGCAGCAUGUGGCAUAUCUAAGUCUGUACCAAAUAAGUCA
rnacentral:misc_RNA from 1 species